rnacentral:rRNA from 1 species
UACGAAGGGAGCUAGCGUUGCUCGGAAUUACUGGGCGUAAAGCGCACGUAGGCGGCUCUUUAAGUCGGGGGUGAAAUCCUGGAGCUCAACUCCAGAACUGCCUUCGAUACUGAAGAGCUUGAGUCCGGGAGAGGUGAGUGGAACUGCGAGUGUAGAGGUGAAAUUCGUAGAUAUUCGCAAGAACACCAGUGGCGAAGGCGGCUCACUGGCCCGGUACUGACGCUGAGGUGCGAAAGCGUGGGGAGCAAACAGG